rnacentral:rRNA from 1 species
UACGAAGGGGCUAGCGUUGCUCGGAAUGACUGGGCGUAAAGGGCGCGUAGGCGGCGCAGUUAGUCAGGCGUGAAAUUCCUGGGCUCAACCUGGGGACUGCGCUUGAUACGGCUGUGCUUGAGGAUGGAAGAGGCUCGCGGAAUUCCCAGUGUAGAGGUGAAAUUCGUAGAUAUUGGGAAGAACGACCGGUGGCGAAGGCGGCGAGCUGGUCCAUUACUGACGCUGAGGCGC